rnacentral:lncRNA from 1 species
GUCACCGCACAUUCUGUUCGACUGCGCGCGCCUAUCCCAUCUGCAGGCACCUAUGCAAGGCGCUCUGCACGUGGUCUGAAUCUUAGUCAAACUUCAGUUUGCAGGCUGAUAAACUGAAGCUUGCAUUGGGCCUUGUUGACGUGGCCAAGGUAACAAAAGCUGGGGGCUUUGGAAACUACAACUUGAGAGGAAAAUCCAUCCAGAACUUAGGGUGCCUUGCUGGGGUGGGUAGGGCAACGGGGAAAGACCGCAGGAGAGCAGUGGGGGUGGAAGGCUAGGGUUGCGUUGUGGGGGUGAGGGGUCCUCCAUUAAACCCAAAAACAAACUGUGGGUGCAAAGAGAGGCGGCGCUUCCUCUCCGACCCGCCUCCUCUCUUUUUCCCUCCCGGGGCUGCCACGUUUUGGGGUUACAUAACUCGAGGAAGGCAGCCAGAGCUGAUAACCAGAGGGCUGGCGUCAAGAACCGUGAGACCAAGUCUAGUCUUAAUGGGAUUCCCGCACUUCUCGAUCCACCUCCUUCCCCUCCUCCUCCCAUCCUCCUCCAGGAGUUCUCUGACCUGUUUUCCCCAGGACCCCUCUAGAUUCUCCCCACACCGGAGUCACCUGCCCCAAAGAAAGGCCUGUGCCACUGGUGCUUGCUCUGCCUUCGCUGUAGUCCCCCAAGAAGUGUCUAUGUAAAUGAGCUGAAUAACCUCAAGUCAAGCCUGCACCUUUCAGAACCACCUUUCUGGUUCUGCAGCAGAACCAGAGCCUGGUGGAAAUGCGUGGGGCCAGGUGUGGGGCUCCUGAACUGAGGCCACCUCCUAUAGGGACCACUGCAAAGGAGUAAGCCCUGUCAUCUAGCCCAACUAUGGCACUCCAGGAGGGUCAGAGAACUCUGAGAAGGGAGUGAUCACGGAGGACCCAUACAUGUCCAAGUCCCGUUUUGGUGCUCCCACCUAAGAAGCAGUGCUAGGCUCAGCUCACCAGAUAGGCAUAGAGAAGUUUAAGGAAGACACCAUGUUCUACUGUCCUUUCUGAUGCUGUGACAAAAUACUCGGACAAAAGGCAACUUGGGGAAGGGCCAGUGCACACAGGCAAGACCGUAGACUGCUUCCUUGACUUGCAGGCCACUCUCUGAGCCAAGUCUCAGCUCUAAGGAGGAGAGAAGACAAAAAUACCAACAGGACAACAGGACAUCUCAGACUCUGCCCCUACUCCCUCCUUCCAGACUCUCCCUCAGAGCUUCUAUAUGUCCCUCUUAGUCCCUGAGCCCCUUGGCAUCUUCUCACACCCAUGUCUUGCUAGGCUACUGUCUCUGGCCCCGGCCACUUGAUACACAAAGGCAGGAAGUCAAAAGACUAUUGACUCUAGGGACAUGACAGCAACUUUAUAUCCAAUCACCCACAGAGCCUGGUCUCUAUCUCUAAGAGCCACAUGGAGGACCUUUGGAUAUCACAGGGCAAGUAUAUGUCUCAGGGAACAACCUCCUAGGCUCCUAGUAGGGUGGGGCACCUGUCCAAAGGAGUUCUUAGAC